GCCACUUCUUACGUCUUACGCCAAACGACCAGCCGGCGAAAGUAGGAAAAAAAAGGACAUUUAUCUUUUGUUCGGCAAUACUUGUUUUUUUGUGUGCAAAACAUGUAUGGUGCUCGGUAAAGAUGACACGCUGACUCACUUCUUCUUUUUUUGGUUUUGUUUUUGGUUUGACAAAGUUUGUUUUCAUAUUAAACCAAUGUCAGUGACGUCAUUCUACGCCACUACCACAGGCUGCUACUGAAACAUCUAAAAUGAUCUGCAUCCACGAUCCACCAGCUCAACAGCAACAUCUGUCAGCUGUGCAUCCAACUGGAGGCCUUCGCCUGCUGUGCUCAGGCGCUGGGCCGCGAUUUCCGUCCCUUGUUGACGACCUGGCUGUAUCCUGUGCUGGAGAAAGCUGGUGAGGAGACGCUGCUGGUCAGCCAGGCGGCGCUGAGCUCCAUAUGGAACAUCAAUAAGGUCUGUGGAUACGCUUCCCUCAAGGAACUGAUCAAUGAGAACUCUGACUACCUGCUUAAUGACAUAUCACUCAACCUUCAGAGACUCAGCCAGCAUCCACAGGCUCCACCGGUGUUGACAGUUCUGUUGAUUCACUCUGACUGCAGCCUGCUGGUCGGGGACAUGGUUCAGGAUCUGGAUCUCAGCUACGAGCGCACAGCUGCU